rnacentral:rRNA from 1 species
GACGAACGCUGGCGGCGUGCCUAAUACAUGCAAGUCGAGCGAGCUUGCCUAGAUGAUUUUAGUGCUUGCACUAAAAUGAAACUAGAUACAAGCGAGCGGCGGACGGGUGAGUAACACGUGGGUAACCUGCCCAAGAGACUGGGAUAACACCUGGAAACAGAUGCUAAUACCGGAUAACAACACUAGACGCAUGUCUAGAGUUUGAAAGAUGGUUCUGCUAUCACUCUUGGAUGGACCUGCGGUGCAUUAGCUAGUUGGUAAGGUAAUGGCUUACCAAGGCGACGAUGCAUAGCCGAGUUGAGAGACUGAUCGGCCACAUUGGGACUGAGACACGGCCCAA